rnacentral:tRNA from 1 species
GGUUCCGUGGUCUAGAGGUAUGAUAUCUCGCUUACAACGAGAGGAUCACGAGUUCGAAUCUCGUCGGAACCA